rnacentral:rRNA from 1 species
AGUGAACGCUGGCGGUAGGCCUAACACAUGCAAGUCGAACGGCAGCACGGUAAGAGCUUGCUCUUACGGGUGGCGAGUGGCGGACGGGUGAGGAAUACAUCGGAAUCUACUUUUUCGUGGGGGAUAACGUAGGGAAACUUACGCUAAUACCGCAUACGACCUACGGGUGAAAGCAGGGGAUCUUCGGACCUUGCGCGAUUGAAUGAGCCGAUGUCGGAUUAGCUAGUUGGCGGGGUAAAGGCCCACCAAGGCGACGAUCCGUAGCUGGUCUGAGAGGAUGAUCAGCCACACUGGAACUGAGACACGGUCCAGACUCCUACGGGAGGCAGCAGUGGGGAAUAUUGGACAAUGGGCGCAAGCCUGAUCCAGCCAUACCGCGUGGGUGAAGAAGGCCUUCGGGUUGUAAAGCCCUUUUGUUGGGAAAGAAAAGCAGCAGGUUAAUACCCCGCUGUUCUGACGGUACCCAAAGAGUAAGCACCGGCUAACUUCGUG